UACAGAGGCCUCGAGCGUUAGGCGGAAUCACUGGGCUUAAAGCGUGUGUAGGCGGACUUCUAAGUACCUUGUGAAAUCCCACGGCUCACCCGUGGAACUGCUGGGUAUACUGGUCGUCUUGAGCCUUCUAGGGGCUACCGGAACAAAUGGUGGAGCGGUGAAAUGCGUAGAUAUCGGGAGGAACACCUGUGGCGAAAGCGGCUCACUGGACCACAACUGACGCUGAGGCGCGAAAGCUAGGGGAGCAAACAGG
rnacentral:rRNA from 1 species